UACGUAGGGUGCAAGCGUUGUCCGGAAUUAUUGGGCGUAAAGAGCUCGUAGGCGGUUUGUCGCGUCUGCUGUGAAAACCCGAGGCUCAACCUCGGGCCUGCAGUGGGUACGGGCAGACUAGAGUGCGGUAGGGGAGAUUGGAAUUCCUGGCGUAGCGGUGAAAUGCGCAGAUAUCAGGAGGAACACCGGUGGCGAAGGCGGGUCUCUGGGCAGUAACUGACGCUGAGGAGCGAAAGCGUGGGGAGCGAACAGGA
rnacentral:rRNA from 1 species